CUCUGUGCCAGCAGCCGCGGUAAUACAGAGGGUGCGAGCGUUAAUCGGAAUUACUGGGCGUAAAGCGAGUGUAGGUGGCUCAUUAAGUCACAUGUGAAAUCCCCGGGCUUAACCUGGGAACUGCAUGUGAUACUGGUGGUGCUAGAAUAUGUGAGAGGGAAGUAGAAUUCCAGGUGUAGCGGUGAAAUGCGUAGAGAUCUGGAGGAAUACCGAUGGCGAAGGCAGCUUCCUGGCAUAAUAU
rnacentral:rRNA from 1 species